GACGAACCGUGCGAACGUUAUUCGGAAUCACUGGGCUUAAAGCGCGUGUAGGCGGGCCGGCACGUCGACUGCUGAAAUCCCCCGGCUCAACCGGGGAACGGGCAUCGAUACGACCGGCCUGGAGGGGGGUAGGGGGGACGGGAACUUCCGGUGGAGCGGUGAAAUGCGUUGAGAUCGGAAGGAACGCCCGCGGCGAAAGCGCGUCCCUGGACCCCACCUGACGCUGAGACGCGAAAGCCAGGGGAGCGAACGGG
rnacentral:rRNA from 1 species